CGGAGAACAAAAAGAGUUUGAACACAACCCAUGAUGAUUGGUUGGUGAUUUCUGGACAUUAAAAAAAACUUCUGAUCACAAGCAAAUACCAAAAUGAAAAGCAGAGUGUCGCGGGGGCCAGGUGUUGCUGUAUGUGGAUUCUCAGUGUCACUGUGCACCGUGGGAGGACAAAGACAGUAUUGAGGAGGCCGGCGUGGAGCAGAGAGCAGCACAGGAUACUCUUACAGACUCGCCAGUGUUUGUGCCAAGUCCUCCCUUCAUACACACAACAGACACUGUGUUCAGUUUCUCCCCACUACCGGCUUUGUCCUGUCAGACUCUCGUUUUCUCCCUCCCACUCCCUCCUAUCCUUCUUUUUACUUUUUUUUUAUGUGUGUUCAGAGCAG
ensembl:lncRNA